rnacentral:rRNA from 1 species
UGGGGAAUAUUGCACAAUGGGGGAAACCCUGAUGCAGCAACGCCGCGUGAGUGAUGACGGCCUUCGGGUUGUAAAGCUCUGUCUUCAGGGACGAUAAUGACGGUACCUGAGGAGGAAGCCACGGCUAACUACGUGCCAGCAGCCGCGGUAAUACGUAGGGGGCAAGCGUUGUCCGGAUUUACUGGGUGUAAAGGGCGCGCAGGCGGGAUAAAAAGUCAGUGGUGAAAUCCUACAGCUUAACUGUAGAACUGCCUUUGAUACUUUUAUUCUUGAGUUCGGGAGAGNGAGACGGAAUUCCAGGUGUAGUGGUGAAAUACGUAGAUAUCUGGAAGAACACCAGUUGCGAAGGCGGUCUCUUGGUCCGACACUGACGCUGAGGCGCGAAAGCGUGGGGAGCAAACA